rnacentral:rRNA from 1 species
CAUGCAAGUCGAGCGAGAAAUUAAUUAAUGAAUCUUCGGAAGAAUUGAUUAAUGGAAAGCGGCGGACGGGUGAGUAACGCGUGGGCAACCUGCCUUUCACAGAGGGAUAGCCAAAGGAAACUUUGAUUAAAACCUCAUAAAGCUGGAAUAGUGCAUAAUAUACCAGCCAAAGAUUUAUCGGUGAAAGAUGGGCCCGCGUCUGAUUAGCUAGUUGGUGGGGUAACGGCUCACCAAGGCGACGAUCAGUAGCCGACCUGAGAGGGUGAUCGGCCACAUUGGAACUGAGACACGGUCCAAACUCCUACGGGAGGCAGCAGUGGGGAAUAUUGCACAAUGGGCGAAAGCCUGAUGCAGCAACGCCGCGUGAACGAAGAAGGCCUUCGGGUCGUAAAGUUCUGUCCAAAGGGAAGAAAAGAAUGACGGUACCUAUGGAGGAAGCCCCGGCUAAAUACGUGCCAGCAGCCGCGGUAAUACGUAUGGGGCAAGCGUUAUCCGGAAUUAUUGGGCGUAAAGAGUGCGUAGGUGGUGGCUUAAGCGCAGGGUUUAAGGCAAUGGCUUAACUAUUGUUCGCCUUGCGAACUGGGUCACUUGAGUACAGGAGAGGAAAGCGGAAUUCCUAGUGUAGCGGUGAAAUGCAUAGAUAUUAGGAGGAACACCGGUGGCGAAGGCGGCUUUCUGGACUGCAACUG